CGACAGACUAGGCCGCGGGGCCUUUUCUUCCUUCGGAACCUACCUUUAGGCCUGGACUACUUAUUUAUUGACAGUAAAAACAACUCCAGAACCACGAAGGAUCUUUGUUGAGGACAGUGUCUCCAUUGGAGCAGCCUCCCCCUUUGACGGUUGCUCUCAAGGAGGUACUCCUGUAUCCCCAGGAUGUUUCAGAACUGUCAGCUCCAGCAUCCCCAAAAGAAGUGAACAUCUGUUGCUCGGAGUCAGAGGAGGCUGAAUGUAACCCUGGCUCUUUGCUGAACAAGGAGGGUGUGCAUCGCGUGUUCCAGGAGUUGUCCAAUUUCUCCCCUGAAAUGAAGGAGACCAUUGCAGACACUAAUGCCCUGAUGCAUUUGGAUAUCCUCAGAGAGCAUUUUUUUAAACCACCAGAAAG